GCGCCCGUAGCUCAGUUGGAUAGAGCGGCAGCCUCCGAAGCUGCAGGUCGCACGUUCGAAUCGUGUCGGGCGCGCCA
rnacentral:tRNA from 2 species